UAGAGAGGUAGAGGCGCGAUGCUUAAUAGUACUUUUACAGAGGUAAGCACGAAGAAGUAAAAGGAAAGGAAUCAUCGCCGAAGCGUACAACCGAUGCUUUAAGGUUGUAAAGCUGGGGUUAUAUAUAAUAUAUAUAACACUGCCGCAAUUAUUGUGGAGAGCUAUCAUCUAA
rnacentral:ncRNA from 1 species